rnacentral:rRNA from 1 species
AUACGGAGGGGGCUAGCGUUGUUGGGAAUUACUGGGCGUAAAGCGCGCGUAGGCGGUUUUUCCAGUCAGGCGUGAAAGCCCUGGGCUCAACCCAGGAACUGCGUUUGAUACUGAUUGACUAGAGGCCGGGAGAGGGUAGUGGAAUUCCCAGUGUAGAGGUGAAAUUCGUAGAUAUUGGGAAGAACACCAGUGGCGAAGGCGGUUACCUGGACGGGUACUGACGCUGAGGCGCGAAAGCGUGGGGAGCAAACAGGAUUAGAAACCCCAGUAGUCC